rnacentral:rRNA from 1 species
AGAGUUUGAUCCUGGCUCAGGACGAACGCUAGCGGCGGGCUUUAUACAUGCAAGUCGAUCGCGAACGCUUUUCUUCGGAAGAGCUAUUAGAGAGGCGAACGGGUGAGUAACGCGUAGGCAAUCUGCCCUCUGGUGGGGGACAACAUCCCGAAAGGGGUGCUAAUACCGCAUGACAUUUACGAAUCGCAUGGUUUGUAAAUCAAAGAUUUAUCGCCAGAGGAUGAACCUGCGUCCCAUUAGUUAGUUGGUAGGGUAACGGCCUACCAAGACCGCGAUGGGUAGCUGGUCUGAGAGGAUGAUCAGCCACACUGGGACUGAGAUACGGCCCAGACUCCUACGGGAGGCAGCAGUAAGGAAUAUUGCACAAUGGACGAAAGUCUGAUGCAGCCACGCCGCGUGUGGGAUGAAGGUCUUGCGACUGUAAACCACCGUUAGGAGGGACGAGUCACGCUGUUUUGCAGCGUAUCGACGGUACCUCCAGAGAAAGCUCCGGCUAACUCCGUGCCAGCAGCCGCGGUAAUACGGGGGGAGCUAGCGUUGUCCGGAAUCACUGGGCGUAAAGAGCGUGUAGGCGGGAUGGACAGUCUGAGGUGAAAUGUCAGGGCUUAACCCUGAAUCUGCCUUGGAAACUAUCAUUCUUGAGUACGGUAGAGGGAAGCGGAAUUCCAGGUGUAGCGGUGGAAUGCGUAGAUAUCUGGAAGAACACCGGUGGCGAAGGCGGCUUCCUGGACCGUAACUGACGCUGAGACGCGAAAGCGUGGGUAGCAAACAGGCUUAGAUACCCUGGUAGUCCACGCCCUAAACGAUGUGCACUAGUUGCUGGGAGAUUCGACCCUUUCAGUGACGCAGCUAACGCAUUAAGUGAACCGCCUGGGGAGUACGAUCGCAAGGUUGAAACUCAAAGGAAUUGACGGGGGCCCGCACAAGCGGUGGAGCAUGUGGUUUAAUUCGAUGCAACGCGAAGAACCUUACCUGGGCUUGAACUGUGCAGGAAACUUUCUGAAAGGAAAGCCUCCUUCGGGAUCUGUACAGAGGUGCUGCAUGGCUGUCGUCAGCUCGUGUCGUGAGAUGUUGGGUUAAGUCCCGCAACGAGCGCAACCCCUAUCGUUAGUUGCCAUCAGGUUAUGCUGGGCACUCUAACGAGACUGCCGGCGUUAAGCCGGAGGAAGGUGGGGAUGACGUCAAGUCCUCAUGGCCCUUACGUCCAGGGCUACACACGUGCUACAAUGGGUGGUACAAAGGGUCGCUAAGCCGCGAGGUGGAGCCAAUCCCAUAAAACCAUCCUCAGUUCGGAUUGCACUCUGCAACUCGAGUGCAUGAAGCCGGAAUCGCUAGUAAACGUGGAUCAGCACGCCACGUUGAAUACGUUCCCGGGCUUUGUACACACCGCCCGUCACACCAUGGGAGUCGGGAGUACCCGAAGUCGUUACAUUAAUAGUAGCGCCGAAGGUAAGUUCGAUGACUGGGGUGAAGUCGUAACAAGGUA